rnacentral:rRNA from 1 species
AUAAGAAGUCGUACCUGCCCAGUGAUUAUUUUAACGGCCGCGGUACUCUGACCGUGCAAAGGUAGCAUAAUAAUUUGCCUUAUAAUUGAAGGCUGGAAUGAAUGGUUUGACAUGGAUAAAACUGUCUCUAUAUAAUUUAUCAGAAUUUAAUUUUUAGGUGAAAAAGCCUAGAUUUUAUUAAAAGACAAGAAGACCCUAUCGAGCUUAAAAAAAUUUAAUAAAAAUAAAAUAAUUAUAUAAAAAUUAAAUUAUUAAAAAUUUUAGUUGGGGCAACUUAGGAGUAUUAAAAGCCUCCUAUUUUUUUUAUACUUUUGGUAAUGAUCCAAAAUUUUUGAUUAAAAGAAAUAGUUACCGUAGGGAUAACAGCAUUAUUUCUUUCGAGAGUUCCCAUCGAAAAAGAAGUUUGUGACCUCGAUGUUGGACCAAAAUAUCCUAAAGAUGUAGAAGUCUUUAAGGGUUGGUCUGUUCGACCAUUAAAAUUUUA